GACGAACCGUGCGACCGUUGUUCGGAAUCACUGGGCUUAAAGGGCGCGUAGGCGGGCUGUCAAGUCUGGGGUGAAAUGCCGCGGCUCAACCGUGGAACUGCCUUAGAUACUGACGGCCUCGAGGAAGGUAGGGGCAUGCGGAACUGUAGGUGGAGCGGUGAAAUGCGUUGAUAUCUACAGGAACUCCGGUGGCGAAAGCGGCGUGCUGGACCUUUUCUGACGCUGAGGCGCGAAAGCUAGGGGAGCAAACGGG
rnacentral:rRNA from 1 species